rnacentral:piRNA from 1 species
UUCAUGUGGCAAUAGCACAUCAGUAGAUAUA